rnacentral:rRNA from 1 species
ACUACGGGAGGCAGCAGUGGGGGAUAUUGCACAAUGGGGGGAACCCUGAUGCAGCGACGCCGCGUGGGUGAAGGAGUGCUUCGGCAUGUAAAGCCCUAUUGGCAGGGAAGAAGCAAGACGGUACCUGACUAAGAAGCCCCGGCGAACUACGUGCCAGCAGCCUCGGUCAUACGGAGGGGGCGCGCGUUAUCCGGAGUCACUGGGGGUAAAGGGAGCGUAGACGGCCGAGGAAGCCAGGGGUGAAAGACCGGGGGCCAACCCCGGGACUGCGCUUGAAACUGGAUGGCUGGAGUGCGGGAGGGGCAGGCGGAAUUCCUGGUGUAGCGGUGAAAUGCGUAGAUAUCAGGAGGAACCCCGGUGGCGAAGGCGGCCUGCUGGACCGCGACUGACGUUGAGGCUCGAAAGCGUGGGGAGCGAACAGGAUUAGAUACCCGUGUAGUC